rnacentral:rRNA from 1 species
GAAAUACCACCCUUGUAUGUUUGAUGUUCUAACUUAGCCCCGUUAUCCGGGGUGAGGACAGUGCCUGGUGGGUAGUUUGACUGGGGCGGUCUCCUCCCAAAGAGUAACGGAGGAGCACGAAGGUGGGCUAAUCACGGUUGGACAUCGUGAGGUUAGUGCAAUGGCAUAAGCCCGCUUAACUGCGAGAAUGACGGUUCGAGCAGGUGCGAAAGCAGGUCAUAGUGAUCCGGUGGUUCUGUAUGGAAGGGCCAUCGCUCAACGGAUAAAAGGUACUCCGGGGAUAACAGGCUGAUACCGCCCAAGAGUUCAUAUCGACGGCGGUGUUUGGCACCUCGAUGUCGGCUCAUCACAUCCUGGGGCUGAAGUCGGUCCCAAGGGUAUGGCUGUUCGCCAUUUAAAGUGGUACGCGAGCUGGGUUUAGAACGUCGUGAGACAGUUCGGUCCCUAUCUGCCGUGGGCGUUGGAAGAUUGAAGGGGGCUGCUCCUAGUACGAGAGGACCGGAGUGGACGAACCUCUGGUGUUCGGGUUGUGUCGCCAGACGCAUUGCCCGGUAGCUAAGUUCGGAAUCGAUAACCGCUGAAAGCAUCUAAGCGGGAAGCGAGCCCUGAGAUGAGUCUUCCCUGAUACUUUAAGUAUCCUAAAGGGUUGUUCGAGACUAGAACGUUGAUAGGCAGGGUGUGUAAGCGUUGUGAGGCGUUGAGCUAACCUGUACUAAUUGCCCGUGAGGCUUAACCAU